rnacentral:rRNA from 1 species
CCUACGGGAGGCAGCAGUAAGGAAUAUUGGUCAAUGGACGCAAGUCUGAACCAGCCAUGCCGCGUGGAGGAUGAAGGCCCUCUGGGUUGUAAACUCCUUUUAUGGGGGACGAAACCCCGGAUUUUUAUCCGGCCUGACGGUACCCCAGGAAUAAGCACCGGCUAACUCCGUGCCAGCAGCCGCGGUAAUACGGAGGGUGCAAGCGUUAUCCGGAUUCACUGGGUUUAAAGGGUGCGUAGGCGGGUUUGUAAGUCAGUGGUGAAAUCCCGAAGCUUAACUUCGGAACUGCCGUUGAUACUACAGGUCUUGAAUACUCGGGAGGUGAGCGGAAUAUGUCAUGUAGCGGUGAAAUGCUUAGAUAUGACAUAGAACACCGAUUGCGAAGGCAGCUCACUACAGAGUCAUUGACGCUGAGGCACGAAAGCGUGGGGAUCAAACAGGAUUAGAUACCCUGGUAG